rnacentral:rRNA from 1 species
CGUUAAUCGGGGCAGGGUGAGUCGGCCCCUAAGGCGAGGCUGAAAAGCGUAGUCGAUGGGAAACGGGUUAAUAUUCCCGUACUUGGAUAAACUGCGAUGUGGGGACGGAGCAGGUUAGGUUAUCGCACUGUUGGAUAUGUGCGUUUAAGUUUGUAGGUGUGAAGUUUAGGCAAAUCCGGACUUCUUUAACACUGAGAGAUGAUGACGAGGCUCUACGGAGCUGAAGUAACCGAUACCACACUUCCAGGAAAAGCCACUAAGCUUCAGGUUUAUCUAAACCGUACUGAAAACCGACACAGGUGGUCAGGUAGAGAAUACUCAGGCGCUUGAGAGAACUCGGGUGAAGGAACUAGGCAAAAUAGCACCGUAACUUCGGGAGAAGGUGCGCCGGCGUAGAUUGUAGUCCCUAGCGGGCGAAGGUUGAACCGGUCGAAGAUACCAGCUGGCUGCAACUGUUUAUUAAAAACACAGCACUCUGCAAACACGAAAGUGGACGUAUAGGGUGUGAUGCCUGCCCGGUGCUGGAAGAUUAAUUGAUGGGGUGCAAGCUCCUGAUCGAAGUCCCAGUAAACGGCGGCCGUAACUAUAACGGUCCUAAGGUAGCGAAAUUCCUUGUCGGGUAAGUUCCGACCUGCACGAAUGGCAUAACGAUGGCCACACUGUCUCCUCCUGAGACUCAGUGAAGUUGAAGUGUUUGUGAUGAUGCAAUCUCCCCGCGGCUAGACGGAAAGACCCCAUGAACCUUUACUGUAGCUUUGCAUUGGACUUUGAACCGAUCUGUGUAGGAUAGGCGGGAGGCUGAGAAGCGGUGACGCUAGUCAUCGUGGAGCCGUCCUUGAAAUACCGCCCUGAUUUGUUUGAGGUUCUAACCUAGGUCAGUGAUCCUGAUCGGGGACCGUGCAUGGUAGGCAGUUUGACUGGGGCGGUCUCCUCCUAAAGGGUAACGGAGGAGUGCGAAGGUACGCUAGGUACGGUCGGAAAUCGUGCUGAUAGUGCAAAGGCA